UUGCUUUGGCAGCACAUAUACUAAAAUUGGAACAAUACAGAGAAGAUUGGCAUGGCCCCUGCACAAGUAUGACACCCAAAUUUGUGAAGCAUAAAGUAUAACA